rnacentral:tRNA from 1 species
AAAGCUUUAGUAUAAUUUUAGUAUGUACCAUUGUCGUUGGUGGGGUUCUUGGCUUUG